UACAGAGGUCUCAAGCGUUUGUUCGGAUUCAUUGGGCGUAAAGGGUGUGUAGGUGGCGCCGUAAGUCGGGUGUGAAAUUUCGGAGCUUAACUCCGAAACUGCAUUCGAUACUGCGGUGCUUGAGGACUGGAGAGGAGACUGGAAUUCAUGGUGUAGCAGUGAAAUGCGUAGAGAUCAUGAGGAAGACCAGUGGCGAAGGCGGGUCUCUGGACAGUUCCUGACACUGAGACACGAAGGCCAGGGGGAGCAAACGGGAUUAGAACCUA
rnacentral:rRNA from 1 species